CAACUAUUCCCUCCGUCCAAAAAUACUUGUCAUCAAAAUGGAUAAAGAAUGAUGUAUCUAGAACUAAAAUACAUCUAGAAACAUCCCCUUUUAUUCAUGAUGACAAGUAUUUCCGGACGGAGGGAGUACUCC
rfam:Triticum urartu cultivar G1812 contig485147, whole genome shotgun sequence.